rnacentral:lncRNA from 1 species
AGCUAUCCCGGCGGGCCGCGCGCGCGGCCGCGUUUGAAUGGCCCUGAGUGGGACUCGGCCCAGAAGCCGAGGGACUCUCUAGGCUGCCGGGCGCUGGUCGUCAGCGCCGAGGCUGGGCUGAGGCGCCGCGGUACCAUGAGGCGCCGGUUAAGAAAUCUCCAAAACAGUUGGCUGCUUACAUAAAUAGAACAGUUGGACAAACUGUGAAAAGCCCAGAUAAACUUCGUAAAGUGAUCUAUCGCAGAAAGAAAGUUCAUCAUCCCUUUCCAAAUCCUUGUUACAGAAAAAAACAGUCCCCUGGAAGUGGGGGCUGUGACAUGGCAAAUAAAGAAAAUGAACUGGCUUGUGCAGGCCACCUGCCUGAAAAAUUACACCAUGAUAGUCGAACAUAUUUGGUUAACUCCAGUGAUUCUGGUUCUUCACAGACAGAAAGCCCAUCAUCAAAAUAUAGUGGGUUUUUUUCUGAGGUUUCUCAGGACCAUGAAACAAUGGCCCAAGUUUUGUUCAGCAGGAAUAUGAGAUUGAAUGUAGCUUUAACUUUCUGGAGAAAGAGAAGUAUAAGUGAACUUGUAGCUUAUUUGUUGAGGAUAGAAGAUCUUGGCGUUGUGGUAGAUUGCCUUCCUGUGCUCACCAAUUGUUUACAGGAAGAAAAACAAUAUAUCUCACUUGGCUGCUGUGUUGACUUGUUGCCUCUAGUAAAGUCACUACUUAAAAGCAAAUUUGAAGAGUAAGUGCUAAUCUGAAUCUUGAUUCAUUUUUCUUUUUCAGCAUCCUUGAUUUUGUGCUUUGUGAGUACAUAGUAGAUUGGGCUCCAUGAGACAUGCAAGGUUUCUGUUUUCAAGAAGCUAAUAGUACAAUUAGGAAAAGAAUAUGAAAUGACUAAAGGACAAUUAUAAAAGCAUCUCUAAACAAAUUACAUGAAAUAUACUUUUGUGUAAUAGAUCAUGAAGGUAACAAUUUUUUAAAAGGGAAGGGACCAAUGUGUGUGUGUGUUUUUUGGGAGGGAAAGUAUCAUCUUUUAUAAGAAGGGUUCUUAGAUGAAAACACUUGAAUUUUGUAACAAAAUGUCAUUUCAGAUAUGUUAUAGUUGGUUUAAACUGGCUUCAAGCAGUCAUUAAAAGGUGGUGGUCAGAACUAUCAUCCAAAACAGAAAUUAUAAAUGAUGGGUGAGUAUACCUUUAAAGAUAAACUCAUGCUGAAAUUUUCUUCAGGAAAGCAGCUUGAUUAAACUAGGUAAUAAUUUUAUCCCAUUAUCAUCAGUGUAUGG